rnacentral:tRNA from 1 species
GUGUGGCUCAGUGGUAGAGCACUUGCCUAGUAUGCAUGUGUCCCUGAGUUCAAUCCCCAGCAC